rnacentral:rRNA from 1 species
ACUCAAAGGAAUUGACGGGGGCCCGCACAAGCGGAGGAGCAUGUGGUUUAAUUCGAUGAUACGCGAGGAACCUUACCUGGGCUAGAACCGGCACUGACUGUUUGUGAAAGCAGACAUCCCUUCGGGGCAGUGUUGGAGGUGCUGCAUGGUUGUCGUCAGCUCGUGCCGUGAGGUGUCGGAUUAAGUUCCAUAACGAGCGCAACCCCUACUGUUAGUUGCCAGCAUGUAAUGAUGGGGACUCUAGCAGGACUGCCGGCGCAAGCCGAGAGGAAGGUGGGGAUGACGUCAAAUCAGCACGGCCCUUAUGUCCAGGGCUACACACGUGCUACAAUGGCCGAUACAGAGGGCAGCUACUUGGCAACAAGAUGCGAAUCUCGAAAAUCGGUCUCAGUUCGGAUCGAAGUCUGCAACUCGACUUCGUGAAGUUGGAUUCGCUAGUAAUCGCGCAUCAGCCAUGGCGCGGUGAAUACGUUCCCGGGCCUUGCACACACCGCCCGU